UACGUAGGGGGCAAGCGUUGUUCGGAAUUACUGGGCGUAAAGGGCGCGUAGGCGGCACGGCAAGUCAGGAGUGAAAGGCCUGGGCUCAACCGAGGAACUGCUUUUGAGACUGCCGAGCUAGAGUGCAGAAGGGGCAACUGGAAUUCCCAGUGUAGCGGUGAAAUGCGUAGAUAUCGAGAGGAACACCUGAGGUGAAGACGGGUUGCUGGGCCGACACUGACGCUGACAGCGCGAAAGCCAGGGGAGCAAACGGG
rnacentral:rRNA from 1 species